rnacentral:rRNA from 1 species
UACGAAGGGGGCUAGCGUUGUUCGGAAUUACUGGGCGUAAAGCGCGCGCAGGCGGUCCUUCAAGUCAGAGGUGAAAGCCCAGAGCUCAACUCUGGAAUGGCCUUUGAGACUAGAGGACUUGGGUACGGGAGAGGUGAGUGGAAUUCCGAGUGUAGAGGUGAAAUUCGUAGAUAUUCGGAAGAACACCAGUGGCGAAGGCGGCUCACUGGCCCGUUACCGACGCUCAGGCGCGACAACGUGGGGAGCAAACAGG